AAGUUGGGCACUCUAAAGAGACUGCCCGGUGUCAAACCGGGAGGAAGGUGGGGAUGACGUCAAGUCCUCAUGGCCUUUAUGACCAGGGCUACACACGUACUACAAUGGCAGGUACAAAGGGCAGCCACUUAGCGAUAAGGCGCGAAUCCCGUAAAACCUGUCUCAGUCCGGAUUGGAGUCUGCAACUCGACUACGUGAAGCUGGAAUCGCUAGUAAUCGUAUAUCAGCAAUGAUACGGUGAAUACGUUCCCGGACCUU
rnacentral:rRNA from 1 species